rnacentral:lncRNA from 1 species
GUUUCUAAAAAGUCAGUUGAGAUUUAGCCAAGCCUCCUCCUAGCUGUGACAGAAACUUCACAAAACAUCCUAUGGGAGCAGAUCCCUAGAGAGUGUGGCUGAGUUUCCUCAGCAUCUGUAGCCUUGGGAAAACUGGAUGUAUCAUCGACUCAGGGAACGCAAUCAGUGAGCGUCUUCUUGAAACGUUGAGACCCUGUAUGCGGUGGUUGGAAUGAGAACGGCCUCCCUAGACACUUAUCAUCUGCCCUGUGCGAUAGGAGGCUGGACCUUGGAGAUGUUUCUGAGAUUUGUUUCCUGUGCUCGUGGGUGAGAGCAGUGAUAGCCAAAGGCGCUCAUAGCUUCUGCUUUAAACCAAGCCCAGAGGAGAGAAGGGCUUUGGAAAAGCAAAGUGAACGAAAGAUCCACUCUGAUGGGACGUGAUGAGAGGUGGAGAAGCAAAGACUUGGGGCUUUUGAAAGUGAAGUGGAUUUUUGAAUACUAAAAAAAAAAUAUGUAAUUUCCAGUUUUAAAGAACUGCCUAUAAGGAUAAUUGAACAAAUAAAAAGCUCACUUUUUGAACC